UUAGAAUUCUUCUUAGCUUGCUUGGAAGGAGGAUAGUCUAUAUUGCCAUAACCAAAGUCUCUACAAAAACUGCCUAGUUCUGCUUUGGAGUUCAAUCUAUCUUUCUUAAGAUGACUCUUAAGUUUUAGGUCUGUACAUAGCUCUAGGGCUGUGGUAUUAAUAAGACUAAUAAUAUCUCCGUAGGUAAUAAGUUCAUAGGGUACCUUACCGCCACACCUAUCUCUUAUUUUUGAUCUAAC
rnacentral:lncRNA from 1 species